GCGGCCGUAACUAUAACGGUCCUAAGGUAGCGAAAUUCCUUGUCGGUUAAAUACCGACCUGCAUGAAUGGCGUAACGAGAUGGGAGCUGUCUCAACCAGAGAUUCAGUGAAAUUGUAGUGGAGGUGAAAAUUCCUCCUACCCGCGGCAAGACGGAAAGACCCCGUGGACCUUUACUACAACUUAGCACUGCUAAUGGGAAUAUCAUGUGCAGGAUAGGUGGGAGGCUUUGAAGUAAGGGCUUUGGCUCUUAUGGAGUCA
rnacentral:rRNA from 1 species